rnacentral:lncRNA from 1 species
CAGCAACUCAUUUGAGACAGAAUCCAAAUGAGGUGAGAUGUAACUUCAUGAAUAGAAUGAGAGGGCUACUCUGCAGAGGAAAUGGAAUGGGUAACACACCAGCAGACUGGAGGAAUUGCUGCCAACACUUUACAGGCAAGACCAUCAAAGAUGGAAAAUGAAUUCUCUAAUUCUUCCCAUUAACAUUCAAACUGCAACCUUUAGAG